GGAGCAACAGAGGAAAGGGAGUUGGUGGUAUUGUUAUUUUCUUUUCUAUCUUCCUGUUUUUGGGUUUUCUUUUGUUGCUGAAUUAGCUCAGCUUUGGCUACAGCAAACCUUCUCUCCAAUGCCUCCAAAGUGCGUUUUUUCUGAUCCUGAGAAACACUAUCACAGCCCAUUGAAGCUGGGUGAUGUUCAGCUUCUAACUCUGUUUGUGUGACCUGCGAUAGAUUGCUUCUGUGAUGCGGGAAGGAUGAG
rnacentral:misc_RNA from 1 species